rnacentral:lncRNA from 1 species
UCGUUCCCAUUAGAGCUCAACGGUGCAGAGGAGGGAGAGGAAGGGGGAGGGAAGUGCGCAGUGGCCCGGUGCGGAAGUUCGCGUGGGCAGGGCCACGGGGCGGAGCUCGUGCCUUUUUGCCGCUGCGAUACUCGCCAGUGGAGUUGCCCUUGCCGGGGGUGUUUCCUGUGCGUACGACGUUGGGCGGACACAGCUCUACCACCGCGCGAAGAAGACCUUGUGGGGCUGCCAUAGUGCGUAGCUGUUUGUCCCUGUGCCGAACCACGGUAUGCCUCCAUUAUUUCCUCGCCGUUACCCCCUCUGAUGUUUUAGCUUUCAUGGUGGGUAGACUGGGGCGAGGGGGUUGACGAUGGCUAGCAACCACGUGAAAGCAGCCCCAAAGAGCGACAACAAAAGUAGCACCUACAUGAAAGGAUUUAUGUUUGUUUUUCCUUUAGAACUUUAUUAAAUACUGGAUCUACCGUAGUGUGGGAGUAUUGCUUCCACGGUUGGACCAGGUGGGUCUUGGUGGAGGACUGCUCGUCCAUGAGGACUGUCGCCGCCUUGAACCUUUGGAUGGAGCCACUGCCCCCGCGUCGGGUAGAAGGAAGGAAGGAGAAAUGUGCGAGCCAUCCGAUCCAAUCUGGACGGUUGUGAUUUAACCGGCUCAUACAGCCUCGGGGUAGUGAAUCUGGGCCAUAGGAUUGGAUCGGAUGGAUCAGAGUAGCGCCAGCUUCAUAAAAAUCUAAACCCUUGAAUUUUAAUCCAGCGGCAGCAAUCGCAUACCGCUUCAUGAAACGCCUGGAUCUAAUCCCAGCCGCAGGUCUUAGAUCUAAAGGCUCAUAACACCCGAUACCCCUUCGGCCUGGCCAUUUUGCAAAUAAACCCUUAUUGAUUACAGAAAACAACCCGUAGUCCGGGCGCCAAUUGAUCUGUGUCUUAGGAAUUCUUAUUCCGAAGCCCCUAGCUUUUCCAGAAUUUGGCGCCCAGUCCAGCAAAUUAGAAAUUCAGUAAAAGUAAUUAGAAAAUGAUUUUUAAUGAGAAAUUAAAUGCUAGAAUAUGUUUAAUUCAUAGAAAAUUCAUAUGAUAUCCAAAUUAGUUCAUUCUAAUUUCUAUAAUUCUAUAAUAUUAUUGUUUAUCUCAUAGUACCUCUGUUUCGACAUGAAAGUCACAUUAAAAUUUAUAUUCUAUUUAAUCUUGUACAAAACACAUAGAAUCUUUAGAAAUUCAUAACUUAAAAUUUACAACACCGAUUUGAUCCAUUCAAGUUGCGUUAGUCUCGUACAAGUAUUUACUACACAGUAACAAUAUUUAUUGUUUUCUAAUUAAAUCUUUAUUUAAUUUAUGUGGGUUAGUCUUGUUAAUCUGCUUAUCACUAUAAUCUAUCAAAAUAUAAUUUAUGGUCAAUUUAUGACUUAGAUUAAAGAUGAGAUAAUUAUAUAUAGAAUAAUCUCUCAUACAAUCUAUAUUAACCAAUUUAUACUAUAGUUUAAUAUUUUGAUCCCACAGAUCUUCUAUAAAAUUAUAACUCCUUAAUCGUAACUCCGAUGUUAGUAGUUCUCGAUCCCACGAUCUCGUAGCGCGCGUAGAUUAUUACUAUUCAGUUUGUUCUUAUGUUUGGUGUGAUGUUAAUUUGGUAUAUACCAUAUUGUUUGUAUUGCUACGACUAGCAGUGAGGUUUCGAGGAUUUGGAGAUCAUCCUGGUAACUGGAAUCUCAAGUGCCAGGCAAGUUGUGCCCUUGAUCACUUCUUUUACCUAUUCAUGUUCUUAUUAAUCAUAAUGAUCUGCAUAGGAUAAUUUUGCUGGGACCCAAUAGGUUACCCUAGAUUUUGACUAUCUUUAUACCUUGCUUCACCAAUGGUUUUACUACUAAAGUUUUGGGUAGUUUAUGCUAUUGCUAUAUGUGGAUUUGGGUAUAGAGAUAUUCAUCACUCAUUUUUACACUUGUUAUUAUCUGUUCAUUAUUUUAUGUUCAUGAUAAGAUCAUUAUGUUAAUGGGAACAUGGAGAACCACCCGGGAAAACAGUGCUACCACAAGGGUUUAAUGGGACGCCCUUGGCUGAUUAACUAGGAAAGCUAGUGGAGGGCUACCUUACCCGAAAGGGGCAAGGGCAGUAGGGGAGUGGUCAGUGUAGGGAGGUCCUUGGGUUGAUUUUGCUGCGAUGGCGGUCAGACAAGAACCCUGCACUGGAGCUUCCUAUAAACUGUAGCGGGUAGUCUGAAGCUAGUGGAACUUUGUAAAGGCCUCGUAGUGGUACCCUGCCUCGCUUCCUUGGUAGAGGUGUAUGGAGUCUGAUCAACUCUGUGGCAAAGGGGUAACACGACUUGUGGGUAAAGAUGCGCAACCUCUGUAGAGUGUAAAACUGGUAUACUAGCCGUGCUCACGGUCAUGAGCGGCUCGGACACUCACAUGAUUAAAUUAUGGAACUUAAACUCAAUUUGUCAUAUGUAUUGCAUCGCAGGUGAGGUUGUUACUUUUGUUCUACUACUUAAUUGGGUUGGUAUUUACUUAUACUUAGUAAUUGCUAAUAAAAUUUUGACCAACUUUAAAAGCAAUGCUUAGCUCUAACCAUCCUCUUUGGUAAGCCUUACACUUUACGUGAGCUCCCACCUUUGGCGAGUUCAUGCACAUUAUUCCCCACAACUUGUUGAGCGAUGAACGUAUGUGAGCUCACUCUUGCUGUCUCACACCCCCCCACAGGUCAAGAACAGGUACCACAGGAUGAGGCGCGUGGAGGAUGUUGUGGCGAGUUCGUGAGAGGUCUAGGCCGUCGUCUCCCAGUCAACUUUGGGUUGCUGGACCAUUG